UGUGUCUAGUCCCUAUAUAAUU
rnacentral:miRNA from 1 species